UACGUAGGAUGCAAGCGUUAUCCGGAUUUAUUGGGCGUAAAGCGAGUGCAGGCGGCUUGGUAAGUCGGUUGUAAAAUCUCCUGGCUUAACUAGGAGGGACCAUCCGAUACUGCCAGACUAGAGUGCAUCAGGAGAAGAUGGAAUUCCCGGUGUAGUGGUGAAAUGCGUAGAUAUCGGGAGGAACACCAGUGGCGAAGGCGGUCUUCUAGGAUGCUACUGACGCUGAGGCUCGAAAGCGUGGGGAG
rnacentral:rRNA from 1 species